AACGCACAUUGCACCCGCCAGUAUUCUGGCGGGUAUGCCUGUCCGAGCGUCAUUUCAACCCCCAAGCCUUGGCUGCUUGGUGUUGGGGUGCAUCUACGGCGCACUACGUGCCCCUGUAGGCCCCGAAAUCUAGUGGCGGACCCGCCGAGACCCCGAGCGCAGUAGUCCUUCUCUCCUCGCUCCAGGGCGUCCCGGUGGGACUUUCCUGCCGUAAAACCCCCUCCACUCAAUUCAAGGUUGACCUCGGAUCAGGUAGGAUUACCCGCUGAACUUAA
rnacentral:misc_RNA from 1 species